CAGGCCUAACACAUGCAAGUCGAACGAUGCUUUCGGGCAUAGAGGGGCACAGGUGCGUAUCGCGUGGGAGACUGUCCCUUCGUGCGGAAUAUCAGCCAUAAAUGGGUGCUAAUACCGGAUGACGACGUACAUCGCAAGAUAGAUCGCCGAGGGAUGAUCCGGCGUAGGAUGAGCUGGUUGGUGUGGUAAAAGCGGACCAUCGUGACGAUCCUUAGCUGGUCGGAUAGGAUGAUCAUCCUCUAUGGGACUGAUAAAAAGCCCAUAAUACUACAGGAGGCAGCAGUGGGGAAUAUUGGACAAUGGGCGAAACCCUGAUGCAUCAAUGCCGCCUGAUUGAUGAAGGCCUCCCGGUUGUAGAGCACGUUUAUCCGCGAUGAUCAUGACUGCACCAGGAGAAUCA
rnacentral:rRNA from 1 species